CCUACGGGCGGCAGCAGUGGGGAAUAUUGCACAAUGGGGGAAACCCUGAUGCAGCGACGCCGCGUGAGUGAAGAAGUAUUUCGGUAUGUAAAGCUCUAUCAGCAGGGAAGAAAAUGACGGUACCUGAUUAAGAAGCCCCGGCUAACUACGUGCCAGCAGCCGCGGUAAUACGUAGGGGGCAAGCGUUAUCCGGAUUUACUGGGUGUAAAGGGAGCGUAGACGGCAGCACAAGUCUGGAGUGAAAUGCCGGGGCUUAACCCCGGAACUGCUUUUGAAACUGGGCAGCUAGAGUGCAUGAGAGGUAAGUGGAAUUCCUAGUGUAGCGGUGAAAUGCGUAGAUAUUAGGAGGAACACCAGUGGCGAAGGCGGCUUACUGGACUGUAACUGACGUUGAGGCUCGAAAGCGUGGGGAGCGAACAGGAUUAGAUACCCCAGUAGUC
rnacentral:rRNA from 1 species